GCGGGUGAGUAACACGUGAGUAACCUGCCCUUAACUCUGGGAUAAGCCUGGGAAACUGGGUCUAAUACCGGAUAUGACUCCUCAUCGCAUGGUGGGGGGUGGAAAGCUUUUUGUGGUUUUGGAUGGACUCGCGGCCUAUCAGCUUGUUGGUGAGGUAAUGGCUCACCAAGGCGACGACGGGUAGCCGGCCUGAGAGGGUGACCGGCCACACUGGGACUGAGACACGGCCCAGACUCCUACGGGAGGCAGCAGUGGGGAAUAUUGCACAAUGGGCGAAAGCCUGAUGCAGCGACGCCGCGUGAGGGAUGACGGCCUUCGGGUUGUAAACCUCUUUCAGUAGGGAAGAAGCGAAAGUGACGGUACCUGCAGAAGAAGCGCCGGCUAACUACGUGCCAGCAGCCGCGGUAAUACGUAGGGCGCAAGCGUUAUCCGGAAUUAUUGGGCGUAAAGAGCUCGUAGGCGGUUUGUCGCGUCUGCCGUGAAAGUCCGGGGCUCAACUCCGGAUCUGCGGUGGGUACGGGCAGACUAGAGUGAUGUAGGGGAGACUGGAAUUCCUGGUGUAGCGGUGAAAUGCGCAGA
rnacentral:rRNA from 1 species